GUGGAUUAGAUACCCUAGUAGUCCACGCUGUAAACGAUGAUCACUCGUUGUUGGCGAUACACUGUCAGCGACUGAGCGAAAGCAAUAAGUGAUCCACCUGGGGAGUACGGCGGCAACGCUGAAACUCAAAGGAAUUGACGGGGGCCCGCACAAGCGGAGGAACAUGUGGUUUAAUUCGAUGAUACGCGAGGAACCUUACCUGGGCUUGAAAGGGGAUCGACUUCCCGGGAAACCGGGAUUCUCUUCGGAGCGAUCUCCUAGGUGCUGCAUGGUUGUCGUCAGCU
rnacentral:rRNA from 1 species